UACGUAGGGUGCGAGCGUUGUCCGGAAUUAUUGGGCGUAAAGGGCUCGUAGGCGGUCUGUUGCGUCAGGAGUGAAAACUCGGGGCUUAACCCCGAGCCUGCUUCUGAUACGGGCAGACUAGAGGUAUGCAGGGGAGAACGGAAUUCCUGGUGUAGCGGUGAAAUGCGCAGAUAUCAGGAGGAACACCGGUGGCGAAGGCGGUCUGCUGGGCAGUGGCUGACACUGAGGCGCGACAGCGUGGGGAGCAAACAGG
rnacentral:rRNA from 1 species